CGGCAUAUGGUUUGAAUAUAUUUAUGUAAAGCUGAUUUUCAGACCAGUAAAAGUACCACAUGAUAUUAAGUAAAAGUACCACAUGAUAUUAAG